CAUUUGCCAAGGAUGUUU
rnacentral:siRNA from 1 species